ACCCGGUGAACUUAGAGGAUAAAUGACACGAUUUUAACUAAAAAUAAGAUAUAUUUUGUGGAUUACUGACAAUUUUCAGAAUUCGUUCAAUGUAGAGAAUACUGUCGAUUUUAGUGUUGUUUGACUUUAGGGGUUUAUGUUUAAUUUCAAACAGUAGAUGUAAUUUUUUGCAUAGCUAUACAAAUAGCAGACGUAAUAUCUUUAUUGAAUGCUCA
rnacentral:lncRNA from 1 species